rnacentral:rRNA from 1 species
GUCCCUACGGGGGGCAGCAGUGAGGAAUAUUGGUCAAUGGUCGGGAGACUGAACCAGCCAAGCCGCGUGAGGGAGGAAGGUACAGAGUAUCGUAAACCUCUUUUGUCAGGGAACAAAGACUGGGACGCGUCCCCGGAUGAGUGUACCUGAAGAAAAAGCAUCGGCUAACUCCGUGCCAGCAGCCGCGGUAAUACGGAGGAUGCGAGCGUUAUCCGGAUUUAUUGGGUUUAAAGGGUGCGCAGGCGGGCUGUUAAGUCAGCGGUCACAGCCCGGGGCCCAACCCCGGCCCGC